AUUGAACGCUGGCGGCAGGCUUAACACAUGCAAGUCGAGCGGGGAAAGGUAGCUUGCUACCUGACCUAGCGGCGGACGGGUGAGUAAUGCUUAGGAAUCUGCCUAUUAGUGGGGGACAACAUCUCGAAAGGGAUGCUAAUACCGCAUACGUCCUACGGGAGAAAGCAGGGGACCUUCGGGCCUUGCGCUAAUAGAUGAGCCUAAGUCGGAUUAGCUAGUUGGUGGGGUAAAGGCCUACCAAGGCGACGAUCUGUAGCGGGUCUGAGAGGAUGAUCCGCCACACUGGGACUGAGACACAGCCCAGACUCCUACGGGAGGCAGCAGUGGGGAAUAUUGGACAAUGGGGGGAACCCUGAUCCAGCCAUGCCGCGUGUGUGAAGAAGGCCUUAUGGUUGUAAAGCACUUUAAGCGAGGAGGAGGCUACCUAGAUUAAUACUCUGGGAUAGUGGACGUUACUCGCAGAAUAAGCACCGGCUAACUCUGUGCCAGCCGCCGCCGUAAGAC
rnacentral:rRNA from 1 species